rnacentral:rRNA from 1 species
GAUGAACGCUGGCGGCGUGCUUAACACAUGCAAGUCGAGCGAAGCAUUUGCAGUUGAUUUCUUCGGAUUGAUUCUGUUUAUGACUGAGCGGCGACGGGUGAGUAACGCGUGGGGAACCUGCCUCAUACAGGGGGAUAACAGUUAGAAAUGACUGCUAAUACCGCAUAAGCGCACAGUGCCGCAUGGCGCCGUGUGAAAAACUCCGGUGGUAUGAGAUGGAUCCGCGUCUGAUUAGCUAGUUGGUAAGGUAACGGCUUACCAAGGCAACGAUCAGUAGCCGACCUGAGAGGGUGACCGGCCACAUUGGGACUGAGACACGGCCCAA